rnacentral:rRNA from 1 species
CAUGUGGUUUAAUUCGAAGAUACACGAAGAACCUUACCUGGCCUUGACAUGGUAGGAACCUUAAGAGAUUAGGGGUGCUAGCUUGCUAGAACCUACACACAGGUGCUGCACGGCUGUCGUCAGCUCGUGUCGUGAGAUGUUGGGUUAAGUCCCGCAACGAGCGCAACCCUCGUCCUUAGUUGCUAACAGUUCGGCUGAGCACUCUAGGGAGACUGCCUUCGCAAGGAGGAGGAAGGUGAGGACGACGUCAAGUCAUCAUGGCCCUUACGGCCAGGGCUACACACGUGCUACAAUGGGGCGUACAGAGAGCUGCGAUACCGCGAGGUGGAGCCAAUCUCUUAAAGCGUCUCUCAGUUCGGAUUGUUCUCUGCAACUCGAGAACAUGAAGCUGGAAUCACUAGUAAUCGCAGAUCAGCUAUGCUGCGGUGAAUACGUUCCCGGGUCUU